GUGAAUCAUCAAAUCUUUGAACGCAAAUUGCACUCUCCGGUUUUCCGGGAGAGUAUGCCUGUUUGCCAACGAGCCUAAAAAAAAUAGACAUUGUUGCUGGUUUAUGGUGACUUUCGACGGAGGUGGGUUAUCGUAAAUCUCGGUUUAAGCGACUUAAAAAUUUUUUUUACGAUUCUAAGAAUGUUUCUAAGAUUUUUCUUGUACGUUUAAGGUAUCGAAUGUCUUAUUAUACGUGGCUGUAAUAUCGGUACGUGACCAU
rnacentral:misc_RNA from 1 species